rnacentral:rRNA from 1 species
UACGGAGGGUGCAAACGUUGCUCGGAAUCAUUGGGCGUAAAGCGCACGUAGGUGGUCCGGCAAGUCGGGUGUGAAAGCCCUCGGCUUAACCGAGGAAGUGCAUUCGAAACUAUCGGACUUGAAUACUGAAGAGGGUCGCGGAAUUCCCGGUGUAGAGGUGAAAUGCGUAGAUAUCAAGUGGAACACCAGUGGCGAAGGCGAGUCCCUGGACAACUCCUGACACUGAGGCACGAAAGCUAGGGGAGCAAACAGG